CUAACGUUGGCCCGUUAUCCGGGUUGCGGACAGUGUCUGGUGGGUAGUUUGACUGGGGCGGUCUCCUCCUAAAGAGUAACGGAGGAGCACGAAGGUUGGCUAAUCCUGGUCGGACAUCAGGAGGUUAGUGCAAUGGCAUAAGCCAGCUUGACUGCGAGCGUGACGGCGCGAGCAGGUGCGAAAGCAGGUCAUAGUGAUCCGGUGGUUCUGAAUGGAAGGGCCAUCGCUCAACGGAUAAAAGGUACUCCGGGGAUAACAGGCUGAUACCGCCCAAGAGUUCAUAUCGACGGCGGUGUUUGGCACCUCGAUGUCGGCUCAUCACAUCCUGGGGCUGAAGUAGGUCCCAAGGGUAUGGCUGUUCGCCAUUUAAAGUGGUACGCGAGCUGGGUUUAGAACGUCGUGAGACAGUUCGGUCCCUAUCUGCCGUGGGCGCUGGAGAACUGAGGGGGGCUGCUCCUAGUACGAGAGGACCGGAGUGGACGCAUCACUGGUGUUCGGGUUGUCAUGCCAAUGGCACUGCCCGGUAGCUAAAUGCGGAAGAGAUAAGUGCUGAAAGCAUCUAAGCACGAAACUUGCCCCG
rnacentral:rRNA from 1 species